UACGGAGGGUGCAAGCGUUAUCCGGAUUCACUGGGUUUAAAGGGUGCGUAGGCGGGUAAGUAAGUCCGUGGUGAAAUCUCUGAGCUUAACUCAGAAACUGCCGUGGAUACUAUUUGCCUUGAAUAUUGUGGAGGUGAGCGGAAUAUGUCAUGUAGCGGUGAAAUGCUUAGAUAUGACAUAGAACACCAAUUGCGAAGGCAGCUCACUACACAAUUAUUGACGCUGAGGCACGAAAGCGUGGGAUCAAACAGG
rnacentral:rRNA from 1 species